rnacentral:sRNA from 1 species
AUACGCUACAGGUUGCGCCACAAUGCGAGGACGACGCCUCGAUCUCGGGCGGUCUCGCGCCCGGAGAGCGUGCUUCGCCAACCGACCUGCGCACUCCACGGUCCGAAGGCGCGAACGACAGAGAUCUCGCUCUUCAGCCAGCGCGAAUCCGGACCUUCGCGGUCGGCGUGACCGGCAUAGGUCUGGGCCAGAACCAGGAGUUUGCGGGUCGGGCGAAGGCCUAGGGUGACAUCCAGCCGGUUCUCGUCCGCCAGGCCCUCUCGCCGAAGGCGGGCG